rnacentral:lncRNA from 1 species
AAAAUUCCUUGCAUGUACCAGUACUUGCUUGGAACAAUUAAAAGAACGAGAAUAAGUGUAAAGGUGCGAUAGACAAAGCUUUCAGACUGCAGUGCUUUCAGUAAGAUUUGAAGUAGGUGUCUCCCUUUUGUUAGCACCUGCCAGAGCUGAUAAAAGGGGCCAAAGGCCCCUGUCCUCUAGGGAGGUAUGGGGGCAUGUCUCCGCCCCCCCGAAAAUUUUUGAAAUCGGGAAGCUCGGAAACAUGAUUUCCGGUGAUUUGAGGCAAAAUAUUAACACCCAAGCAUUAUUAAUUUUUAUCAGAAAAAAGUAUUCUACUGCAGAGUUCAAUGCAAUUUUAUUAUUCAAUGCAAUAUUAUUUUCAGGUGUGUAUAUACUACUGAGAAGUUACAUACUGAAGUCAAGACCUUUUAAAAGCCAGUCAUUCGUGAUAUACAAGACUUGGCUUGAUGUUAACUUCUUACACCAGAUUAAAGCCUUACCCGAUUGCGUCCGUGAGCUUUUUGAAGUAGAACUAGAAGCAGACAGAAACGACAGCAUGGACUGCUGCCGCUUCGUUGUGGAACUGUCGAUGCAUGAAAACGAGGCCUGCUUCUUAAAACACAAGGUACAUCAUGUAAUCUGCGCUGGAGUGUGACCUUUAGUGACGAUGAUGUUUACGACAAUGUUACGUUUAAUACGCAAAUGAAAAUCGACUACUUGUGGCUUUUAAAGCAGUAAAAUCACAGGCACGUUAAUGCAGGAAAACAGCUGGCGAUUCGCGAGAGUACCCGCCGGAGCUCCGGCAGGAGCCGGGUCUUACUGAAAGCGAUGUUUCAGACUAUGAAAUCAAAUGCAGGAAGUGUAACACCGUCUAUGGCGGAUAUACAUCAAGGAAAGCAUACACCAGAGGGAAGAACACAGCAAGUCAAUAAGCAAUGAAGAGCGAUCCGCCUUGAAGAAACAUUGUAAGGAAAAACAUAACAAUGAAAUACAGAAAUUUUAAUGUUACUAGUUUUUACUAAAAUGCUGUGCUAAGGCAAAUAUCAGGUGUUAGGAAAGCACACUAAUCAUGCUAAUGAACGCUAAGAAUGCAACUAUCGCCCCAUUCCACGUGAGGCAGUCACAUAUGAUGACGUCCAUUCACUAAGAUAGGAUACCAGAGUGACUUAAUGAAAUCAGAGAACACAUUAGUUGUUUCAAUUGUUUUCAGCAUUUAAAAAUUCCUCAGAAGACAAUCAAAAGAGGACGAUAACAAUAGUGCCUUCAUUUGGCUUCAAAUAUUUGUACCAACAUUAAGUCUUGGCCAGACAUAUUUGAUCCCAGGACAGGUAAUGUACACUGUAAAUAUCUGAUUCAAGAAGUUUUGGAAUGAAUAAUAAAAGUACUACCACCACUUUGAAAGUAAAAAACUUCAAUUGUGCUUUGCUUAAAUUACUAUUUUUAUUUCAACAAAACAGACAGGAAUUCAUUCUUAUUUUCACUUGUCACCAUUUGAUUAGCCAAUCAAUAAAUAGUUUCUACUUUCCACUUUAGUCCUUCCUGACUCUUAAUGACUGGAAAAAGGCCUAGGCUAAAAAUACUCUAAUAUUUAUCAGGGUGCAAGCCUCAUACUCAGGAGUAGGCAUUUCCCAUAUCCAUUGUUCGUCGUGUAACAAAUCAAAGAACAAAUUAAACAAAUUAUGGAUCAAAUUGACAACAAACAGACUAUACAGACACCAGAAUAAAUCAACACUGACUUUAUUAUUUACAGAGGCAAUGUCAGUGGCAAGAUCAUACUUGGAUGUAUGUCUGAGUAACGACACCACUGUUUUUACCAGUAAAUACACGAAAAACCUUUCUAUGCUCUUCUCUCUGCUUAAAAGUCUACCAACAAACAGUUCCUUUGGUCUUAACACCUACAUUACUUCUGAAAAUACGAAGCUCCAACAAGAGAAUUUCCAUCUGCUUAUUACACAAAUAAAAAAAAA